rnacentral:rRNA from 1 species
CCUACGGGAGGCAGCAGUGAGGAAUAUUGGACAAUGGGCGCAAGCCUGAUCCAGCCAUGCCGCGUGCAGGAUGAAGCAUCUAUGGUGUGUAAACUGCUUUUGUACGAGAAGAAACACUGCUUCGUGAAGCAGCUUGACGGUAUCGUAAGAAUAAGGAUCGGCUAACUCCGUGCCAGCAGCCGCGGUAAUACGGAGGAUCCAAGCGUUAUCCGGAAUCAUUGGGUUUAAAGGGUCCGUAGGCGGCCUUAUAAGUCAGUGGUGAAAUCUCACGGCUCAACUGUGAAAUGGCCAUUGAUACUGUAGGGCUUGAAUUAUUAGGAAGUAACUAGAAUAUGUAGUGUAGCGGUGAAAUGCUUAGAGAUUACAUGGAAUACCAAUUGCGAAGGCAGGUUACUACUAAUGGAUUGACGCUGAUGGACGAAAGCGUGGGUAGCGAACAGGAUUAGAUACCCUGGUAGUCCACGCCGUAAACGAUGGAUACCUAGNUGUGGGUCGACUCAGUGNGAGACGAAGUAGAGUAAGUAUACCACCGUACGGGAGGUACGUUCGUCGAAGAAGUAGAAACGUACGAAGAAAGUUAGUACGGACGNGAGAGNGCGACGGACGACGACGAGGGAGGUAGG